GAUUAAUCAACUCAACUAUACUAUUUCCCAACCAGACGAGAGAGCACUCAUCAUUGUCAGAAAGAUAAGGAAAACAAGAAAUUGAUUGUUAAUGCAUGUACCAGAUAUAGAGGACGGACACACCUGACUUUGGCAAUAUUUGGAAAAUUUAACUCUCCACCAUCAAAGCAAUGUUGUACGAUGCCUUGUUCUCCUUCAUUCUUUACAAUGCGUUCAGCUUUCCAAUGUCUU